rnacentral:lncRNA from 1 species
GGGGACCGAGGCUAUUUUGCUUAAAAAAGAAGAAAAUGUAUCUUUCUGCAACCCAAACCACUGCUUGUAUAUUUUUUGAAGCCUCAUAGUCAAUGUGGGAAGGUACAUUUCCUCAUGUAGGGUAUCAAGAGAGCUAUCAGUUAACACAGAAUUAAGCUUAUUAGAAACUACUUUUCCUCACCCUUCUCUUCCCACUUCUUAUCUUCCCUCCCCUGUGGUACUUUAGUGCCCUGAAGACCAACUGAACUGCAGUGCUGUAGCUGUUUGUACACACUGCAAAUGACCUGGCUUUUUAUCCAGCUGCCAGGAGAAUUUGUACUGACUGCAGGAGGACUGGGGCACGCAGCGUACUUCAUCGUCAAUGGGAAUUCAUGCCUUUCAUAACUCAGCAACAACUAACAGAGCCAGUUAGCCCAAAAUAUUAUUUUCCUGAAACGUCUGCAAACAAAGGGAUGCAUUUUGCAGACAGAAGAAGCUUGUGUGAACUCAUGACUGAAAUGAAACUUGCCCAUUUUGAAUCAUGUUUUCAUGCCUGCAAGCAAGACUCAGAGAUGGAUGCUUCAGAGGACCUGACGAAGGAAUGUGGGCUCCUUCCAUAUCAAGGCAUAAAGCUGUGGGCUCCAUCGACUGUACUGAGGAAGGGCCUGAAUCAGUUCCUUAAUAUCAGCAUCUGGUGUCAUUUUUGUGCCCUCAGAACCAAUAAAGCAGAGGAUGACAAUUUGCUGCUAGUCUGUAUCUUUAGAGGAGAACAACACUCUCCAGCUUGGACCACAGGGGAAGGGUUUAAGGGCUUCCAUAAAUAAAUCCAUAAAUACAAUACAAUCACCUGCGUGGGAUGUGUUGUUGUUGCAGGAUCUAG